UUGAAGUUUCCUGAAUUCUUUCAAAAGAUGACUCUUGCUUUCGGUGUAUCAUCAGUUUUGCUGAUCCAACAAGAGUCAUUCUGCCAAUGGAUAAAGCAUCUACUAUAGCACCACCCUCCUUUCAGAGACAAUAACUGAUGAGACAUGUGUAACCUCAUCAAGACUACUUUCGAUAGGGCAUCCUAAACACCCCAAAAGCCCUCUAAAGGAUGACCAUAGAUCUCAGAUCCCAAUUCAAACUUGAUAAAAGCCCUCGGAAAGACUGUGAGUCCCUGAGAUUCUACUGGGUCUGCCUGAAUGAGAAGCGAAGAAAGAAAACAAGGGUGACAAAGAAAAAUAGAACAGAGACCAACCUGCAGUUUGGAUUGAUCGGUGACAGGCUCUACUGCUAGUUUAUGCGGAGAAUGUAUACAUGGAAAUUUGGAAGAAUUUACUCAUACAAUCAAAUAAAAAUCAGGUGCUACCCUGAUUUCAUUAACUGUAA